rnacentral:rRNA from 1 species
GGCAACUAAUACCGUAUACGCCCUACGGGGGAAAGAUUUAUUGCUAUUAGAUGAGCCUAUAUUAGAUUAGCUAGUUGGUAAGGUAAUGGCUUACCAAGGCAAUGAUCUAUAGCUGAUCUGAGAGGAUGAUCAGCCACACUGGAACUGAGAUACGGUCCAGACUCCUACGGGAGGCAGCAGUGGGGAAUAUUGGACAAUGGGCGAAAGCCUGAUCCAGCCAUGCCGCAUGAGUGAAGAAGGCCUUUGGGUUGUAAAGCUCUUUCGGUGAGGAAGAUAAUGACGGUACUCACAGAAGAAGUCCUGGCUAACUCCGUGCCAGCAGCCGCGGUAAUACGGAGAGGGCUAGCGUUAUUCGGAAUUAUUGGGCGUAAAGAGCGCGUAGGCUGGUUAGUAAG